AAUUAAAGCUCUGCUAGGACCUUCACCCCAUUUAAGUUUAAGGCUCUGGUAGCUGAAGACCACACAUUCAAGGUGAGGAGGGUCAGGAGGUAGUGGUUUCGUUUUGGCUUUAAUGGAAUGACUGAAAGGACCAACUCCAAAGCUGUUUAUGGCCUGUAUUCUCACCCUGUACAGAGUGUCAGGCAGCAGAUUCUCAAGAAUGUGGCUUGUAUUCCUUCCAACAGUUACAAGCUGCUUUUCCCCAUAUUCUAUAUUAUAUCCAGUGAUCUCCGCCCCAUGACAACACGGUUCUUCCCAUUGAAUUGCAAGGCACGUUGAUAAAGGAAGAGG
rnacentral:lncRNA from 1 species